GUUCCUACUUAAAUAAUUCUCAAAAUCCCUCUUAGAAUAUUACAUCAAAGCAUUUUCCUCAUCCAGUCUUCUAAUUAUUCCACUAUUCAGAUGACUCUGAAAGUUCCUGACAAUAACCCGGGUAUUACUGUUUCUUUGAAUGGAGCACAAGUGAGAUGUGUAGCCAAAAGGAGUUCACAGCUGGGUCUUUCAACAGGUGGUUGUGAUAAUUAUGUUCUGGGCUCUGAAGCUAUCAAAUCAGGAAAGUGAAAGUGGUACUGGGAGGUAGAUGUGUCAAACAAACAUGAAUGGAUGGUGGGUGUACGUCAAAUCACAUCAAUUAGAUCCUCUCAAUUCA